GUGGGGAAUAUUGGACAAUGGGCGCAAGCCUGAUCCAGCAAUACCGCGUGUGUGAAGAAGGCCUGAGGGUUGUAAAGCACUUUCAAUGGGAAGGAACACCUAUCGGUUAAUACCCGGUAGACUGACAUUACCCAUACAAGAAGCACCGGCUAACUCCGUGCCAGCAGCCGCGGUAAUACGGAGGGUGCAAGCGUUAAUCGGAAUUACUGGGCGUAAAGCGUGCGUAGGCGGUUUUUUAAGUCAGAUGUGAAAGCCCUGGGCUUAACCUGGGGACUGCAGUUGAUACUGGGGAACUAGAGUUGAGUAGAGGAGAGUGGAAUUUCAGGUGUAGCGGUGAAAUGCGUAGAGAUCUGAAGGAACACCAGUGGCGAAGGCGGCUCUCUGGACUCAAACUGACGCUGAGGUACGAAAGCGUGGGUAGCAAACAGGAUUAGAUACCCCGGUAGUCC
rnacentral:rRNA from 1 species